rnacentral:sRNA from 2 species
AUAAAAGCUUUCUAGGGUUCCGUAACUGAGCGGUUAGUCUGGACCGAGAGAAAGCCGCAAGUUGAUACUUGUGACACGGAGGGAUAAAAGCCUGGGAGAC